UGCUCCUGCUUCUAUCAGUUCC
rnacentral:miRNA from 1 species